rnacentral:rRNA from 1 species
AACGCGAAGAACCUUACCUACCCUUGACAUCCAGAGGAUCCUGCAGAGAUGUGGGAGUGCCGAAAGGAACUCUGAGACAGGUGCUGCAUGGCUGUCGUCAGCUCGUGUUGUGAGAUGUUGGGUUAAGUCCCGUAACGAGCGCAACCCUUAUCUUUAGUUGCCAACAUGUAAUGGUGGGGACUCUAAAGAGACUGCUGGUGAUGAACCGGAGGAAGGCGGGGACGACGUCAAGUCAUCAUGGCCUUUAUGGGUAGGGCUACACACGUGCUACAAUGGCGCGUACAGAGAGUUGCGAACCUGCGAAGGGGAGCCAAUCUCGUAAAACGCGCCGUAGUCCGGAUCGGAGUCUGCAACUCGACUCCGUGAAGUCGGAAUCGCUAGUAAUCGCGAAUCAGAACGUCGCGGUGAAUACGUUCCCGGGCCUUGUACACACCGUAGUAC